CUGUGCUAAGUGGGGAGCUAGCGGUGCCCUGUACCUACAAUCCGCUACAGUAGGGCUGAACGCCGCCCCCGGACAGGCGUCUUUCAGGCUGGUGGCUGUAAGGGAUGUUGAUUUCAAGGUCUCAUGCAACGGCUUGCUGUGAACCGUGUCAGGGCAGGGAUGCAGCAGCACUAAGCAGAUAAAGCCGUGUGCCAUGAGGAAGCUUUGAGGGAGUUACCUGCAACCGGGCCGCUGGGGGAUGUCUCUUCAAAGGCGGCUGCACAG
rnacentral:SRP_RNA from 1 species